rnacentral:rRNA from 1 species
UACGGAGGGUGCAAGCGUUAUCCGGAUUCACUGGGCGUAAAGGGUGCGUAGGCGGGUUUUUAAGUCAGAGGUGAAAUCCUGGAGCUCAACUCCAGAACUGCCUUUGAUACUGAGAAUCUUGAGUAUGGGAGAGGUGAGUGGAACUGCGAGUGUAGAGGUGAAAUUCGUAGAUAUUCGCAAGAACACCGGUGGCGAAGGCGGCAUCCUGGACCGGUAUUGACGCUGAUGCGCGAAAGCCAGGGGAGCAAACGGG